rnacentral:rRNA from 1 species
UUUCCAGACUCCUACGGGAGGCAGCAGUGGGGAAUAUUGCACAAUGGGGGAAACCCUGAUGCAGCGACGCCGCGUGAGUGAAGAAGUAUUUCGGUAUGUAAAGCUCUAUCAGCAGGGAAGAAAUAGCGACCUUUGGGUCGCCAGACGGUACCUGAUUAAGAAGCCCCGGCUAACUACGUGCCAGCAGCCGCGGUAAUACGUAGGGGGCAAGCGUUAUCCGGAUUUACUGGGUGUAAAGGGAGCGUAGACGGCCAUGCAAGUCUGAUGUGAAAACCCGGGGCUCAACCCCGGGACUGCAUUGGAAACUGUGCGGCUGGAGUGUCGGAGAGGCAAGUGGAAUUCCUAGUGUAGCGGUGAAAUGCGUAGAUAUUAGGAGGAACACCAGUGGCGAAGGCGGCUUGCUGGACGACGACUGACGUUGAGGCUCGAAAGCGUGGGGAGCAAACAGGAUUAGAUACCCUAGUA